CCGCACUGUUAAGUGUCUCCUUAGUCUUCUCCUUGGCUCUGGGGUCUCAUUCCGGUGCAAGAACAAAUCCCUUCUAGCAGAAAGGCCGGGCCCCGCGCUGACCUGUUCUUUCUGAGAGUUGGGUACAAAC